UACGGGGGGGGGCAAGCGUUGUUCGGAAUUACUGGGCGUAAAGGGCUCGUAGGUGGCCAACUAAGUCAGACGUGAAAUCCCUCGGCUUAACCGGGGAACUGCGUCUGAUACUGGAUGGCUUGAGGUUGGGAGAGGGAUGCGGAAUUCCAGGUGUAGCGGUGAAAUGCGUAGAUAUCUGGAGGAACACCGGUGGCGAAGGCGGCAUCCUGGACCAAUUCUGACGCUGAGGAGCGAAAGCCAGGGGAGCAAACGGG
rnacentral:rRNA from 1 species